AUUACAGGAAUAUGAAAGAAAAGACAAUCGCAGCUGAAUUAAAAAAAAACUCUUAAAUAUAAACAGGCUAUUGAUUGUGCUCAGGGAGAUAUUGCUAUGCCGUCUACGAGCAGCGCAGGCACACAUUAACUCUCUUUACAGCGCUAUUUGUCACGGAAUUUCUUACACUUCAAUGCAAUUAACAUAGCCGCAGGAGAGUUAACGAUAGUUGAAGAUUAAUAAUGAAAGAAACGUGGGCUUUAUAUAUAAUUUUAAACCAUUAUUAGUCUUCUUGAAAAUUCAAAAUACGAGCUUUUUCUGUUUGUGAAAAUUAUUAGACCAACAAAAACAUCGAACAUAUAAAGGAAGUGAGUACCACAGCUAAGUAUAUUUAAUGUACAUAAUUUUAUUACAAAUAUUCUUGACAGUGGCUUUCGUUCUUUACAAAAGUUCAAAUGUGUUAUAUGGUAUUUCUGUGUAAAGACAAGAUGGAAGAAAUACAUAUUACGUUCCCGUUGGUUCUGUUAUCGAACUGCAUAAUGUGCUGAGGGAUUUUAUAUUUGCUCAAUCAGAUACAGAACCAAAGGUUACAAUUAAAUUGCUGAGAACAUUUAUCAAAUUUCCCUCUCUCGUGUUACAUUUUAAAAACACAUAUAACAAGAGCGAUUAACAACACUGUUAAGUGAAACUAAAUUACAAUUGUUGAUUUACAUAUGCAUAUUAUAAUGGUUUGAUUACCAUUUCUUUAAACGCCGCAAAGCUUGCAGCAUGUAACAUAAUUUGUGUAAUGUUCAUACACAUUAAAAGAUUUUAUUACAGAAAAUAUAAGUUAAUGGAAAGGAUGUGUUAUCAAAUAGUGCUUCUAUAAUCAAUCGAUAUCUAUUAUCUAAUCAAAAGAAGAACGAGUGAUAAAUAAAUAUUUCUAUAAUUAUCACAACUUAUAUUUUUCAAUACUCUGUACUCUUUCAAUUCUCAUUUUACUAUUACGAAACAUUAUUUACUAAAGAAUCGUUAAAAUCAUUUAAACGAAAAUAGUAUGCAUACAUAACGAUAUACACAUUUUACGUUGUCAUAUAUUUUAUUAUUUCAUUUAGUCUAAUAUGGUUUUAUAUGCAUAGAUUAUAACGUAUGAAUACAUUGUGAGUAAUCAUACGAUAUAUCAUAUACACUUUUUGUUAACUUCCUCUUGUAAUUUUAUAUAUUAUCCGAUAAAACAAAGACUGGAAGCAGCACCCGUUACGGGCAGGAAUGAUAAAAUGUUAUUCAUUAUUAGAAUUAUUAGAAUUACAGAACACAAUUGUACAAUAUGUAUAGACAAUAAAUUAAUAAUAGAAA